UGGUGCAAAACCUGCUUUGAAGUAGGUUCCUACAGGUGUCGCAUAGACUACAAGCAUAUAUUCUGGGGACGGGGCUACACCCAGCACAGACCCGCUCCCUAGGAGCAGGGGCCUAAGGUAGAGAGCACCUUUUCCAUGUGGUGGUACCCAGCGCUUGUUGGCCAAAACUGUCUCCUUAACGGAGCAAAGGAAUUGGUCGACGGAUGGAGAUGGCAUGCACAUCCUCUUGGCUCCAAGUUGCAUCCGGAGCGCAUUCUCCACUGGCCUGAAGAGUGAAAUACCAUGACCAUCCACA
rnacentral:misc_RNA from 1 species